rnacentral:snRNA from 1 species
ACAUUUUUCUGUGGAUCCACCUUAAUAUCUGAUACGACCCGCACUGCGGGUCCAGUAUAUUAAACUUAUUUUUGGAAACAGGCGAGUGUUAGGGGCUUGCUCCACCUCUGCCACGGAUCGGCCCGGUAUUGCAGUACCGCCGGGAUCGGUCCAAUAAUC